rnacentral:rRNA from 1 species
CUGGUUGAUCCUGCCAGUAACAUAUGCUUGUUUAAAAGAUUAAGCCAUGCAUGUCUAAGUAUAAACAUCUUUAUACAGUGAAACUGCGUACAGCUCAUUAUAUCAGUAAUUAUUUAUUUGAAGGUGACUCACUACAUGGAUAACUGUAGUAAUUCUAGAGCUAAUACAUGCGUCAAGUUCCGACUUUCGGGAAGGAAUGUAUUUAUUAGAUACAAAAUCAAUGCAGGUUCUGCCUGGUUCAUUGGUGAUUCAUAGUAACUGUUCGAAUCGUAUGGCCUUGUGCUGACGAUAGUUCAUUCAAAUUUCUGCCCUAUCAGCUUUCGACGGUAGUGUCGUGGACUACCGUGGCAUCAACGGGUAACGGAGAAUUAGGGUUCGAUUCCGGAGAAGGAGCCUGAGAAACGGCUACUACAUCCAAGGAAGGCAGCAGGCGCGCAAAUUACCCAAUACUGACACAGUGAGGUAGUGACAAAAAAUAACAAUGCCGGGCAUUUAUGUCUGGCAAUUGGAAUGAGUACAAUUUAAAUAUCUUAACGAGAAUCCAUUGGAGGGCAAGUCUGGU